UCCUACAUUAAAACAAGGCAGAUAUGAUUAGAGUGCACGUGUGUUUGCUUGUGCGUGCAUGCUGAGAGAUAUAUACCCGACACCAUGGCCUAGGAAGUCCAGAAGAAGUAAGGAGGAUAUUUUUAGAGUCCCUAUCACUGUGAUGGUCGGGUUUCCAUAUUGAUCCCAUUGAUUUUGGCGAAGUUAGAGUACAUGAAGGUUCCAAUAUCUGUACAGAGCGUAUGUCUUCAGUGCACUGUGAAUUCAAAUAUAAAGUCAGUAUAAUGAUCCCAGGUUACUUAAAAGUGACAAGUACUUGCAGAAACUAAGGACCUUACUAUGUUUCCACUAACCUCGUUGUAAAUUUCUAGAUCAUCCAUACAUAAUGCGUUGUUUGGAUCCACAUUGAUAUACUCUCCGUUGCAAUUAGUUUCAAGUGACUAGCAAAAUUAUGAAACGUUGUAACUUGAGAGACAUUGUUGUUUUUAAGACAACUAUAGAUAUAACUUAAGAGCCAAAUCCAACAUUUUGAUCAAAUGUAGUUCAGACUAAUCUGAAUAGCCACAAUCAAAUCUCUACAUGAAACCAACAAGAGGCUAUUUCACCUGGUACAGUUCAUCUGAUAUAAGUGCUUUUAGGUAAGCAAAUAAAAUUCUGGAAUCCCCAUCUUUGUCCAAAUCUGUCACUGGAUUGCCAAGCACAUAUCCCUGCAUCCAACAUAGAGAUCAUUAUAUUGUUCAGCAUAGUGUUAAGACCCCGAGGCAUAUGAUCAGGAACUAAUUUACUAUAGCAUAACAGAAGUCAUUCAUAUUCUAGUUGCAGAAGAUGUACUUUGAUAUUUAUUGGCGGCACAUUGUCAUCAUGAUUACCUACACAUAAGAAACAAACAAAACAACUGCAGACCAAUACCUCAUAUGCAUGUGAGACUGAAUUAAUUAAAGGUCGAAUGUACAGAGGAAGAACUAUGCCCGACGUGGUUAUGGUAAGUAGCUUACCAUCGGAUAUUUUCUGAACGAUAAUGGGAACAACUAUGCCCGAAUAAGAAUCGCCAGCAACAUAGAGUUGAUUGUUGAAGAACUUAGGGUGGUCCAUAAGCCACUGCACCAAUACACGAAUGUAGCUAAAAACCUUGUAUGUUCUCAAACAAAUUAAUGAAUACUCCAUGUUGGUGGCUAAAUAUAUCCUCACCUUUCUUAGAAAUUCAUACGUUUGUGCUGCUGAUAAAGUGUCACUCAUAUUAGCGUACCCUCUCCAAGUUUUUGCGUAUGAGAAUCCGGUGCCGACAGGUGCAUCUAAAAAUAUUAUGUUGGCAACCUGAAAUUCUUGGGUUAUUGACAAUAUUUUUAUAAAAUCCUGAAUAAAUCAAAGCUGCAGCAUUUGAUAUCAAAUACAAAAACACACACAUUUUGAAGGCAAUUGAAUUAGUCUCACACCUUUGUCCAUGAGUAUGGAUUCAACUUGAACUGUGGCUUGUUGCCAAUGGAAUUUGCGUAGUCAAAGGAUAGUGGACCUAAAACAAAGUAAAAACGAUUACAAAAUAAAGUUGUUUACAAUAAUCAAGUUUUGAAUAAAAUUACUUGCACCAGACAAAAUCUUUUGAAUAAUGUUCAAAAUUGUUGCAAUUGGAAAUUUGGGAGUAAUAUGUGUUCAAUUAACACCUGGCUAAACCCUUUGAAUUACAAAACUCCUACUUAUAAACGCAUAGCCCACACAGUUCAAGAAAAUAAAAUUCAUUCAUCAAACUAUAGAGAAAUUGGAUUAAAUAAUGAAAUUACACAUUUCAAUUUCUGAAACGGUCUGUUUUUUAGAAUUUUUAUUGGUAUGUUGUUGAUAUAUGAUUGAUAAUUGAGAUAGUUUAGUUGCGGUCCCUAGUUCUUAAUUGUUAUAGACUCAAACCUUAUGCAUUUUAGGUUUUUUAUUGAAGUUUCUCUCAUGCCACAUAAAUGACAUAAUAAUAAAAGAGAUGCAAUAAUAUACUAAUAAAUACUGAACUGUUUUUUUUGGGUGUCAUUCACAUCCUUUCCUAUUUGUGCAGUCACGGUUAAACCACGUCAACAUUUUAUAUUAAUUUUUUUUAUAGAGAUAAUAAGACAAAAAGCAAUAAGAAUAUAAAAUGUUAACGUAGCUUAACCGUAACCGCACAAAUAGGAGGGGAUGAAAAUGACACCCAAACAGGAGGGUAGACAAUCUGCCUCCAAAAUUGACAUCACAAUUUUUUCGCACUGGACUUCUCGCCUACGUCACACACAACCUUAAUUUCAUAUCACCAAUGUCUUAAAAUAUAAAAUAAUAUUGAAUUAUAUCCUCUGAAAUGAUGCAGACAGUGAAUUAAUAAUUAAGCAAGUACCUAAAUUUUCAUAUAUGAGGCCAGAAAACGCAGAACAACCGGGACCUCCAGUGAGCCAAAGCACAAGAGGAUCAUAUUCUGGACUCCCUUCAGACUCAAUGAAGUAAUAAAAUAGAUGCACAUCAUCCAUGUUGCCUACUCCCACGUACCUUUUGUAUAACAAAUUCAAAUUCGUAUAAUUUCAUAGUCAUCUUCCGUAUUAAAGUAACAUAAUUGACAGUGCUCAAGUUUAUUUUUACAGAGUAGAGAAGAUAAUAGUUUUGGAAAGAAACAAGAAGUACCUACGUACCCAGUUUCAAGUUUGAAGGGGAGGUUACCGGGAAAGCCCGGUAGGGCGGUGAUGAUGUUUGACGUUGAUGCAACAUUGGUGUUCAAAAGAGCCAUAAGAAGAAGUGCUUGUGGCAACAUGGUGAAGAUGCUUUACUUGCUGCAAGUCUCAUUUCAUCACAUAUAUAGGAUGUCAUUAUCUCUGUGCGGGGCCAACGUUGUACGUACCACGUAGUAACAUAGGGAACGAUAGGUGACAUGAAUUUACCAAAGACAAAUUUUAGGGUUCUUUAGAUAUAGACCCUUGUAACUCUUAUUUCCUAUAUAAAAACCCACCUAAUUAUAAACAUUCAAAUAAAACCCAAAUUUAAAAGUGAUUGCCAUGUAGGAAAGUAAUUGACCUAUUAAUAUAAAAUAUUUACAACUUGUACCACAACAUUCAAAAUUUCCCUAAAUAUUAUUACUCACCUUAAUUACAAUGAACAAAUAAUUUAUUGCAUAUUAUUACCCCUAACACACACACACACACACAGAUAUAUAUAUAUAUAUAUAUAUACACAUAUAUACGUUCAAAUGUGUAUAGUACUAUCACAAGCUCAAUAUAUAUAUAUAUAUAUAUAUAUAUAUAUGUAGGUAUGCACAGUACUACAUAUAUGAUCAAACAUAUUAUACUAAUUAAUCGACCUAUAUGUAAAUUUAUGAUGAGCAAAUAACAUAUAUUUUGUAUGUAUCAUCAUAUAUAUUGGGCACAUUUUAUUAUUAUAUGUACAAAAUAAUAGGUAAAAUAGUAUUGAAUAAAAUAAUAAUAUUUUUUUAUGUAGGUACAUUAUUUUGCAUACAUUGGGUUUGCUUCAUUACGUAGGUAAAUUAUUUUGCAUGUAUUUUACAUAUAGUGGGGAAAUUAUUUUGCUUUUUUUAAGCAAUCUAACAUUUUUAAAAUUCGAAUAGUAGGUGCACUGAAUCAAAUAACAUUUUUUAAAUUAUUUUGCAUGAAUUUUUACGUAUACCAUGCAUGUUUUUUUUUUUGUUAUAUAUGUGUCACAUCCCGGCCCGGGCCCCCACCAAAUCUCGGGCUCGACUCCGUCGUAGCACGAUAUUGUCCGCUUUGGGCCCCAAUCACGCCAUCACAGUUUUGUUUCUGGGAACUCACACAAGAACUUCCCAGUGGGUCACCCAUCAUGGGAUUGUUCUCGCACAAACUCGCUUAACUUCGGAGUUCCGAUGGAACCCGAAAUCAGUGAGUUCCCAAAAGGCCUCGUGCUAGGUAGAGAUGAGAAUAUACAUAUAAGGCUUACACGAUCCACUCCCCUGGGCGAUGUGGGAUGUUACAUAUGUGUGUGAAAUAAUUUACCUACAUUUAUAUGUAAAAUAUAAUUUGUUGACUUAACUAAGCAUGUAUUAUUACAUAUAUUAGGCAUGUUUUGUUGUUAUUAUAUAUUAGGCAAUAAAUUUAUUAUUUAUUAUUUUCGUAAAAUCAUUAAUUUUCCCUUACAAUCUAUAUGGAACUAAUUGUGUACAUCAAACAUUCAAAUAGGGGUGUUUUGGGCAUCAAAAUUUUUUAAAUGUGUAAAGUAAAAUAUAAUAAAUGAAUUUGCUGAUGUGGAAUCUAGUUAAUGGGUUUUAUUUGAGUAAAAAACUUAUGACGGGUUUUAUGUGGAGAAAAUUAAAUUUCAGGGUCUAAAGUCAUAUUUUCUAAAUAUCUUUCUACACCCAAUUUACUUUCUACACCCAUAUUACUUUUAAUUAAAUUCUCAAUAUCUCUUUAAACCCAACUUACUACCUAAACUACCCUCACAAACCAAAUUCAAUAUAUAAAUUUAUCUUUACACCCAUUUAGAAAAUAAAAACCCAACAGUAGAUUUCACUCAAUCCUUUAUGGAAAAUAGCAUCCGUUCAAUGCCAGCCAUGACAUGCACUUGAAGUGUUCAUUUUUUACCUCACCACAACCGAAAGAGAUAAAGAUUAUCUUAAACUCUUUGCCUUCCACUCUAAGCAUUUCAUAAAGUCACGUUCUUGCAAUGCUUAGGGGUAAUUGCAAGGCCUACACCAAUUUGUAGAGAAGUAGAUGCACAGUUUCUUCCCAUUAAAUGACGAUAAGGGUACCUAAUAAUCUCGUAAUCAAAACAAGAUUAUGUUUUAAUUAUCAUAAUCAAGAUAAAAAAAUUCAACUCUAAAAUUGAAGGCAUAUUUUUUCAUGCUAUGAACCUACUUGAACCUCAAGUUCCUAUAUUUUAAUGAAAUCAAAACAUUUUUGACAUCCAAACAACCGAAUUAAAUUAUGAAAAACAAUUUUGAUUGAAGCAAGAGAAAAAAUGGGAACCUUUUGGAGACUACAUACAUUUGUUUCACCGGAUAGAAGGAUCUCAAGACCUUUAAAUUAAAGAACAAUAGCUAUAAUGCUGCUAUGCACUGCCAUCAAAACUACAAGCAAAGUAUAGCCUCCACCCUUCACGAAUGAAAGGAGAAGAAAGCGUGACAUUCACACAAGUUGCUAGACUUUAAAAUUUUAAAUCCCAUAUAUAUGUUUUUGCUAGUAAUUAUGCUUUAGAAAAUGUGCUGAAUUUUUUCCUAAAUCCUAAUAAAAAUUGAAAUCAAACGAAAAAAAAACUUGCAAAAAUCGAUAUAUACUUUAGUUGGAAGAUUCAAAACUUCUAAAUCACCAUCCAUCGUUCAAAAAGAGCUUGUUUUUCUCUAUGAAAGCGUCUUAGGUUUUAGUUAGAAUGAAUGUAGGAUAAAGAUUCCAUGAUGGUAGGGUUUGAUUAUUAGAUGUGGGUUUAUUGAUAAAUUUUAGUUUAUUGUUAAUUUCAUCUUGUAGCUAGUGGUAAUUAUACAGUAGGGUAAAAAGGAUAAUUCACAUUCAAAGUUGAAGUUAGGUGUAGAGAAAGGUUUUAUGGAUUCAAAUAAAAUUUCCCUUUACCAAAAUGUUCGGUUUGUCCUAUUGGGCUAUUUAAAUGGCUAUAGUAUGUGCAUGUGGGCACAUAAGCAUUUCAGCAUUCAUGUCCAUCAUCGUGUGAUUCAUCAGCUAGAUUCAGAAUGUGCUGGUGGAAUACGGGUAUGAAAUUCUUUUCCAAUUAAUUGAUCACCUCGUGGUGAUUAUUCAUACUAUAUAUUAAGAGAAUUCUCUCUAUCAAUUACAGAGGUUUAAAAUGACGGUUGUAACCUUUAAGUACUAGAAGUUUCUAAUAUUUAUUUCAAAAAGUAAAGAGUAUUAUAAUUUUAUUUUGAUUUUUAACCCCACUUUCUCUUCCGCACUUCCAAUUUUGUCUCUGUAUUGUUUACUACAGUAACUCUGCCCGGGCUAAUAAAAAAUGCAUCAUUUUAAGCAUACGUAUAAGUUAGUAGUAGAAUAGUAGGUGAAACCCUUUCCAUCAUCAUAGAGAGAGAGAUUGACAGAUGGACAGAAGAUUAGUUGGAACCUCGUGAUCAUCAGACAAGGUAUAAGUUUACAAGGACCACGCGUAUGUGUAGCCAUCAAAACAUGUCACAAAAUUGAUUUGUUUUCGGAUCCAACUAAUGGUCAUCAACCAACAGUUGGCCCAAGCCACCGGCUUUGUGAACAUGUGUAACCAACCUUCAGAAGUUAGGGUUCAAAAAUGUAAAACUUAAAGCUUUGUUUUUUUGUUAUGUCCCUUGAAAUUUGAUUUUGAUCACACUUUGUCUCUGAAAUUCAAAAGUCAUCACUUUACUUCUUGAAAUUCAAAAUUUACUCCAAAUUGCCUUGUUUUCAUUAAAUUCGUCACACAAUCCGUUAAAUUUGCUUAUGUGGUUUUAAAGCUAUGUAUAUGGCAACAUGUGUAGACUACCAUCCAAUAAAACUAGGGGGUUUUAACGAAACACUCCUGGUACUGUACACUUUUAACGAAAAUGAUAUUUUUACUCUAAAAAGUCAUUCAUGAUAUUAUUCACUUACAACACCUUUUUGUCAUUUUGAUUAAAACUCAAAGUUUCAAGUCAUUUUCAUUAGUUUUCCUAUAAAAUUAUGCAACAUGGGAAACUAAUUAUCAUUUUUUAUUUUUUAUUUCUUUUUUUACUUCUUUUUUUACUUGAAUUGUUGUACCCCUCCCAUCCUUUCUCCUAUUCAUUUGUCUUCCUUCGUUCUCUCUCGACCAUUUUGCCUGUACAAAUCAAAGUUCUAAAAGGUGCUAGGCGCUAGUUGGGCGGUGGGCAGGGCCUCAAUGCCUAGGAGUCUAGGUAGGACCUAGGUGGAUUUUUUUUUCAAUUUUAAUCAAGUUUAUUAUAUCACAUAAAAAAUGUAUAUUUAUACUUAAAAAAAAUACAUAAUUGUGUUGGAAUGCAUAAAUUGCAAAAUUGUUUUGUGGAUGCAAAUUUCGGUUGUCCUCUCCUUUGACGAAAAUGCACCUGCAAAAUAAUAACACCUAAGAUUAAGUCCAAAAGCCUUACGCGCCCACAAUGAACUAGGGGAGGGCUUUGGCCGAAAUCUCCGUUGUCAAAGUUAGAAUUCUGAGAAGAAUGUGUUUUGGAGUUUGUGGGUAGCAAAUGGCUUAACUUUUUAGUGGGAGAAUAGGGCUAUUCAUAGGGGAGUGGCCGGCCUUAUUUGGAGAAUAGUGGCCGGCCACAUAUGGUGAAAUUGUGAGUAUAAUUACAAAAUAUUUUAUGAAAUAAUAUCUUGCAAUUAACUUGGCAAUUAAUCUUAAAUUGAAUAGCAAAAUUGGGAGUUACCUUUGAGUGAGGAUUUGAUGAGGAGUGAUGAGAGGGAUUUGAAUAAAUAUCAUUUGAUCACCUUUCACUCUUCCUUGAUUGAGCCAUUAUUGUUCGUUAGAUGCGCGUGAGAAUCCCGGUGUGCCUCGAAGGUAAUUUUGUCCUUCUAUACUCAAAAGUCCAUGUGUCACCUCCAUAAUUUACUUUAUUAUUUUUUGCUCCACAAAUGCCCACACACCUAUUGAGCUGCUCACAAGAAAGGGCCAAUGGUGUAGAGAUCUUCCCUUGCUUUAGGAAACAUAAGAUUGUUUCUUAUUUUGAUGUAAAUUCCCAAAUUAAUUAGAUAUUAGAUCCUUCUAAGAAAGGGAAAUAAAUCACUUCCAAAGUCUAUUUAAGUAUACCUUAAGUAGAUGAUUAAAUCAACUUCAGAGAGCAAUUUAUUCUACCAUAUAAGAGAAAGAAAGCUAGAGGAUAUUUGUUCCCUAUCCCCUAGCAAUCUUCUACAUUUGCCCAUGCAAAGGACCGCAUUUCGUUGCUUUCUUCGUCUUCACACCGCACCAAGGUAAGAAAAAAUUUAAUUUUUCCUUGUUUUCGUAAUUUUUUGGAGCCUUAGGGCUUGAAAUUUAGCUCGACGGAGGUCGAGAAUGUGUGAACAAUGGUUGGGAAGCCACGACAUGACCGCUGCCGUGGGGCUGCUUCAUCGGCUCGGUGAAGCGGCGGCUGGCUGAGCCAGGUGCGACUCGGCUUGGGCUGAGUUGACGGGGCGCUGGGACACUAGGUUGGACCUGGCACGGGCCAGGCACGUGUGCAAUGGGCUGGACCAAGAAGGUGUGUGAAGCGUUUGGCUAGAUUGGGCCCAACAGACUUGCGGGGGCAUCUGCCCUUCUUCUAGCUAAAUUGGGCCGAGGGAGAAAGGACCAAGCCUUGAGGAUGUAAGUUUGAAAUGCCUUGAGUUGCUUUUGUACCUUCUCUAAGUAUUGCGUCAUCUUUGGAUGUUUUGUCAUGUACUCUCUAAUAGUCUUACUGGUGAUUAGCUAGGAAUCAGAAUAAAUUACAAGCUUUUUCAUCACCAAGAGUGAUUGCCUGCUCAAGCAUCAAACCAUCUAAGGUGACAAGAACCACUCCUGCUCCCGAGCCCUUAUAGUUGGAUGCGUUGUUGACGUGCAAAUGCCAAAAGUCUCCAUGGGUGAAGCAGGAAUGGCUAUGGCGUGCUCAGUUGUCUUGGGGGCAUUGUUGGGUCGCUCUGUUGCGUUGCCCAGGCUAGGCGUGAAUUCUACUAUGAAUUUUGCCAAGGCUUGGGCCUUUAUCGCCGUACGGGGUCAGAAAACUAAGCCGUGUUGGCCAAGUUCCAACGCCCAUUUCAUUACUCGUUGAGAAGCAUCUGGACUAUGUAGGAUUAAUCGUAGAGGAUACUAAGUCAUGAUGAUGACUGUAUGAGCUUGAAAAUAUGGUUUGAGCUUCCAAGCCACAAUAACUAACGCCAAAAUUAAUUUCUCGAUCUUCGGAUAUCUGAUUUCCGCAUGGAGAAGAGCUUUAGAAGUGUAGAAUACCAGCAGUUGGGCCCUCAUCUCUUUUUGUAUGAGGGCAGAACUUACGCCUACUUUUGAAACUGCCAAGUAAAUGUACAAGUUCUCCGCUGCUUCCGACUUGGAUAGUAAAGGAGGUGAUGUGGAAUACUUCUUCAAAUCUUAGAAAGCUCUUUCACACUCAUCAUCCCAUCUAUCUCGUGGUGCCCUCUUUAUUGCUUUGAAAAAAGGCUUACAUUGAUCGAUGGACCACGAAAGGAAACGGUUGAGCGCAGCUGCUUGUCCGAUCAAGCUUUGGAUCUCCUUCAAGGUAGUUAGAGACUUUAUCUUUAGGAUUGCUCAGAUCUGCUUGAGAUGUGCUUCGAUUCCUCGUUGGUUUACUAAGUACCCAAAGAAUCUGCCUGAUGAUACUCCGAAUGUGCAUUUGGCGGGAUUAAGUUUCAAAUUGUACUUUCUAAGGAUGUCAAAAGUUUUUCCAAGUUCCCAAUGUGAUCUGAUCGCUACUUUCCCUUCACCAUGAUGUCGUCGACAUAGACCUCCAUGGUUACUCUAAUUUGCUUCUUAAACAUCAUGUUUACCAAUCAUUGGUAAGUGGUUUCUGCAUUCUUGAGGCCAAAAGACAUGACCUUGCAGCAAUAAGUGCCUCGCUCGAUCACGAAUGUGGUUUUCAUCUUGUCGAGCUCGUGCAUGGCUAUUUGGUUGUAGCCGGAGUAUGCAUCCAAGAAACUGAGUAGCUGGUUCCUGGAAGUUGAAUUUACAAGUAGAUCAAUUCGGGGAACUAGAUAAUGAUCUUUCGGGCAUGCUUUGUUGAGGUCAAUGUAGUAUAUGUAAACCCUCUAUUUGCCCUUCUCUUUCUUCAUUACUAGCACGACAUUGGCAAGCCAUGUUGAGUGUGCUACCUCUUCUAUGAAUUCGACCUCCAAUAGCUUGUUGAUUUCCAUUUCUAUGAUGGGCACUCGUUUAGGUGCAAAAUGUCUUCUCUUUUAGAUUACCGGUUUGGCAGUGGGGUCGACAUGGAGUUUGUGGUAAGCUAUCUUGGGGUCGAUGCCAGGCAUGUUGGAAUGUGACCAUGCAAAGACUUCACGAUUCACCAUAAGGAAAGAUGUGAGUUCUUCAUUUUCCUUCGGGCUCAGGAGUAAGCUCAUUCUAGUAGUGUUCUCCGGCUAUUGGGGAUCAAGAAUGAUGUGUUCGGCGUCCUCUUCAGCGUUGAUUUAGACACCAUCUUCUUGAUUUAUCUGCUGUAAUUGCUAUUUGGUAGCUUCGUCGUCCUUUUGAAACUCGGCAGCCUCUAUGGGGUAAAGGUUUUAUUUUUUUUACUCCUUCAGUACUUGCACAGUGAAUAGUCAAGAUGUGGCCUGGUCAGACUUGAUUUCUCCGACUUUUCCUCCCAAGAUGCGGAAUCAUAUUUUUUUAUACUUGAUGAAGGUUACGGCAUCCAUCUUUAUCAGCCAAAGUCACCCUAGAAUUCCAUUGUAAGGAGACAAGUUGCUUACUAUUGUGAACAUCUGCUUUGAGAUAAUUAGCGAUGUUCUCACGUCAAGUGUAAUGUUGCUGAUGGCAGUCGAGGUGUGUCCGUUGAAUCUGGUGAGUACCUCCGUUCAACAUAUGAUUGUGCUUUUCAUGCCCAUCUUCUAAAUUACUAAGAGCUGAAAUAGGUUAACUACACUUCCGUUGUCAACAAUCAUUAUGUCGACUAUAGUGUGGGUUAGUUGGACAGAUACCAUUAGUGCAUUGUUAUGUGGGAAAUCAACGCCCUCAACAUCUUCCUUGGUGAAGCCAACGAUAUGUCCAGGUUAGGUGUUGACUUAUUGGACUUGUGAAACUAGUAGAGCACGCUGGAUCUUCCUCUUUUUGGAGUUAUUGAUGGCUUCCUAGUGUUUGGAUUCAGCGAAGAUGUCAUUGAUCCGAAUUGUCUUGGUCAGCGGCUCUUUAUCGGCAUCUGCGUUCCUUUUAGGCUACGCAAUUGUCUUGUCCAAGUCUUUGUCGACCUUGCCCUCUUUCACCAGCUUCUAUAGGUAGUUCCUCUAAGUGUAACAAUCGUCGGUUGUGUGAUCAGGACCUCGACGGAAUGUGCAGUACUUGGUGUGGUCCAACUUAGAGGUAUCUCCCUUUCAUAGUUUUGGCAGCUUAAACCAUGGUUCGCUCUUGAUGUUGCGGAGGAUUUGGUGGAUCAGAAUGGAUAACUUAGAGUAGUUCUUAGGCGUCGAGCCUUCUUUAAUCGGGGAUCGGUCCCUGCGCUUGGCCUCCUGCCUGCUUUUGUUGUACUGUUUCCCGUUCUCAUUCUUUUGAGCUACUGUCGAUUCUUUUUUAGGCUACCCGGGUGCUUUGUCUGCUCGCCGAGCCUCGUCCCAAAGUGCAUGCUUCUUUACCAGAGCAAAAGAGUAUGCCAGAGUUAGAUCUUCUUUCAUGAUCAAUUCUUCGAACAACAGUUGAUCUGCUAAGUGUUCGUUUUGGAAGGCUUCACUAGCUAUCGAGUCAUUGCAUCCGACUAUCUUUGCCUUUUCUGCUUUGAACCUUUUCACAUAGCCGCGGAGCAACUCCUUUGGGUUCUUCUUCAUGUUGAACAAGUGGUUGGACUUCUUCUUGAUCAAGCGAUAUGAUGAAUACUCAUUGGUAAAGACUAAAGAAAGUUCAUCGAAAUUCUGGAUAGAUUGUGGCGGCAAGGUGUAGAACCAAUCUUGCACUUCGCCUUGUAGAGUGGUGGUGAAUAUUUUGCAUAUGAGAGAGUCGUUGUUUCGAUAGAGGAUCAUUGCGCUUUUAUAGUGUUUUAAGUGUCUCUCUGGGUGUCCAUCCCCUUUGAAGAAUGUGAAAUGUAACAUACUCAACUUGCAUAGAGUCUCUGCCUACUCGAUCUCGUCCGUGAAUGGUGACUUACUUAUGUUGGUUAUGUCUCGUCAUAGUGCCUCGUCAGUGACCAUGUUAUGUUGGAAAUCGCGCAAUUGCUCGGUCAGGAGCCUCUCUGCUUCUUCCUAAAUUUACCUUUGUUAGGGUAACAGAGCUCUCUGCUGCCUCCGAUCAUGACCUACUGGUCUAGCCUGCUCUUCCAUGUGUUCGGCUUGUCUAUGCAGCAGCUACUGUGCAUAUGGUAUGUUCUUAAUAAGCGAGGGAGUUCCUCGCAGGCUGCCGGUUGAACUUGAGCAGGAUUGAGUGACUGUUUCUUGUUAUUCGUCGUGCUGCCUACUCCGAUGUGAGGUGGAUGAUGCUCCUUGCGGGUCUAGCCACGAAUGAACACUUCGCCUAGAGGUUGCUCAUGUUGAUUAUCAGAGUGUGGUCCCAACCGUGAAUGUAUGCUCAUCUGUGGGCCUAAACGAGAAUGCACGCUCAUUCGUGUGCUAAGAUGAGAGUAUACGCUAUCUCGGGGACCUAGUCAGGAGCGUACACUACUCGAACGCUCGGUUCGUGAAUGGUUAAGUGGCUGCUAGCCUAGAAGAUGCUAGAGAGGUUCAUCGUCUACUCUUGUCCAACUUUGGGUCACCUCGUCUGGGGCACGCUACAUCUCGAUACGCUGCAAGAGCUGAUUCACCAAGUUUGUCUGUUGAACAAGGGCGUUUAUCAGCUAUAUGACUUCAAGACAAGUGUUGUUCACCAUUUGGGUUGGAAGAGCUUGGACGGUGUGCGUCUCCUUAAGUAGUGGAAAUGUAAUGGACUUCGGGCGCGAGAUUUGAGUUAGAUAUGUCAAAUCCGCGGAGAAAUGAGGUGAAAAUACCCCUGGUUUAAUUGUCUGUCCAUAAAUCUUAAGCCGAGAUGGUUGAACCUGUCUUAGACCGAUUUGGGUUGCUAGGAGGGCCAUGGGAAUGGGCCGGACCUUGGGUUUGACCGUGAAAGUGGGUCGGGUCGUAGGCACGGGUCGGAUCAUGGGCGCAACCUGGGCCGUUAGAGUUCAUGGGCGCUGGGCUCCCCUCGGUGCGGCUUGGGCCUAUGGGUCUUGGGGUCGGCUUUGGAGCGUGCUGGGCUCGCACUGGGCUUGGGUCCGCGAGUGUUAGGCUGCUCCAAUUGCUACAACUGCUUGGGCCUCAGCUGCCGUUGCAGCGUCGUGGGCAUGUUGAAUGUGGCACGGGCCUGGGCCUGCUGCUGCGAGGUGGCCUGCUCACCGUGGGUAGUGGGCUCGCCAAUGGGUGCUGCUGUGGUUGCUACCGUGGUGGUUGUCAAGGUGGUGCCCCGUUGGGGUGGUACCGCUCCACUUAUCGCCGCGUUGAGCCUCAUGGAUCAUCAUGGUGGGGUUAUGCCUUGAUCUCCAUCACUUGGUCCAAAUCCUUCAACAUAGGAAAUUCCGUUCGUUGUGGUUUCCGAAUUUCUUGUCAUUGUACUUUUCUUUUACGUUUAUUCAAAGAACUUAAUAAAAAAAUAAAAAAAAAUCUAGGAAUAAGAACAAAAGAAAAAUCUACAAAUGAACAAGAAAUGAGAAACAUUGAAUGCAAGAGUCUUCUUCGAGUGUGUGAAUCAAGACUCUCAAUGAAAGCACCAAUUUAUGGAUGAAAAUUUCCACUGUCUUCUCCUUUGACGAAAAUGCACCUACAAAAUAAUAACACCUAAGAUUAAGGCCAAAAGCCUCACGCGCCCACGAUGUAUGGGGGCCUUUGGCCAAAGAAUAUUCGAUGCCAAAGUUAGAAUUAUGAGAAGAAUGUGUUUUGGAGUUUGUGGGUAGCAAAUAACUUAGUUUUUUAGUGAGAGAAUAUGAAUUUAUAGGGGAGUGGCCGGCCCUAUUUGGAGAAUAGUGGCCGGCCACAUAUGGUUAAAUUGGGAGCAUAAUUGCAAGAUAUUAUGUGAAAUAAUAUCUUGCAAUUAACUUGGCAAUUAAUCCUAAAUUGAAUAGGAAAAUUGGGAGUUACCUUUUGAGUGAGGAUUUGAUAAGGAGUGAUGAGAGGGAUUUGAAUAAAUACCAUUUUGAUCACCUUUCACUCUUCCUUGAUUGAGCCGCUAUUGUCUGUUGCAUACGCGUGGGAAUCCCGGUGUGCCUUGAGGGUAAUUUUGUCAUUUUCACCCAAAAGUCAACGUAUCACUUUCAUAAUUUUCUUGAUUAUUUUUUGCUCCACAAGUUUGACAUAUAAAUUACAACGUGCUAGAACAUAUUAAAAACAUGGACAAUAAGCGUAUAAUGAGUGUUCAUUCAAGUCUCUUACAAUUUAUUGAAAAUAUAAAAUGCAAAAAGUAAGUAAUUUAUUUUCUGUCUAAGUGAGGGUCGCGACUUAGGCAGUCGACGGGUGCUAGGCAGGUCUAGGCGGGUAGGGUGGUGCUUAGGCAAGUUUAGGCAUCAUUUCUUAUUUUUUUUAAAUGUCUAGAGAUUAAUCAAGGCGGGGAUCAGCUGCCUAGUACUUAGGCAGGAACUUUUAGAACAUUGGUUUAAAUUCAAAAUCAACAAAGACUCUUUGAAGAUAAAGCCCCAGAAACAAGAACUCAUAAUUUUUUUUUCCAAACACCCUAAAAUAUUAAUCAGAAAUUAAAAUAAAAAUUGUACAGAAGGGAUGGAGAAAGAUGAGUUGAAGUUGAGAACGGAUUAAUUAUUGUUUCUUUUGGCUAAAAAAAUAUAUAUUAGUUGAAGUAGUGCUUUCUGUUCAACCACAUAACAAACAGUACAAUCGAUUUCGGUCGAGGUAAUGUUUAAUAAAUCUCAUAUUCGGGUUUUUAAGCUUGGUGGAGAACUUGAUUGAAUCGUUGAGCUCGGAGUCGCUUUAUGAGAUUUUCUAUUCGCCGAUGGGGAUUUCCCUGCCAACGGAUUUGGGUUAGUCUAAUGGGACAAGAGAGCACGCGAAAGGAGAAAACAAGGGUGAUGCGGAUGCCACAUAUGCAUUUUUUAAUUAGAAAACUUCAUUUUAAUCCUUAAAAAAUAUGAAUUUUAGAUUAUAAUCUUGUGUAAGAUUAAAAUCUAAUUGAGAAAUUUUAUUUGAAUCCAACUAUCGAUCUUUACACCUAACUAGAAAAAUUUGUCCAACAAACUUCCAUAUUCACCCUUAAAUAAAUAAGAAAGAAGAAACAAUUUUAUAAACCCAAACACAAACAUAAAUUUUUUUUUCUCUCUACACCCAUUUUAUCUAAUUUGAUGAAUCUAACCCUAAUGCCGGCAACCCUUCUCCAAAAUCGUCAACACCCACCAUCCCCUUACAUUAAUUCAAAUAUGAUAUAUCUCGGUACAUACAUUUCAGUAUGUACAUUUUGGUACAUACAUUUAGGUUCAUUAUAAUAUAUGUUGGUACAAACAUUUUGGUACAACCAUUUUUGUACAAUUAUGUAUUUACAUAUUUAUGUGCCACUAAUUUCUUUUAAUAUUCUCUCAUUUAUGUUCAUUUAUUAUUGAAAGAACUAAUAUGUGCAUAUAAUAAAUUUUCAUAAAAGUACACUUUAAGGGAUUAAAUUGAAUAUGUAAUCUAGUACCAAGUUUUUUUUUUUUUUUUUUUUUUUUUUAAAUUGUAAUCUUUUGGAAAGACUAAUGUUCAGAAACCCAUUUUUUAAUCCAUGUUAGCAUAUUUAAUGGUGUUGGACGGAAUUAAUAGAAAAAGACAAUGAGAGCAAAUUUAAGCUUCAAGGAGUAAAAUGAUGAUUUUUGAAUUUUAAAGAGUAAAGUAACAUCAAAAUUGAAUUACAAAGAACUAACUAAAAAUAAAUGAAACUUAAACGAUUAAGAGCGUCACCCUUGGUACGUAUUUUGUACUUAAAAAAAAAUCCUACAAAGUUGUCAGGUCGUCAUCAAUAGAACAUAUUUUAAAAUUCAAAAUAUAGACCUUAAAAAUUUAGCAGCAUUUGUAGGGAGGAAGUAGCUAGUUCUAAUUUUUGCAUACUAGAACAGGUUAAAGAGGAGAAUAAUGUAGCCACGUAUUGAUCAUAUCAAAACAUUGUGUAGAACUGAACUCUGCUGUAUGUUCCCCUGCCUGCAAAAUUGCACACGGGAAUUAAAUUGAGAUGAGUGCCUAUAUUUGCUUUGAGUAUAUUAAUUUAAACAAAAAUGCUAUAUUUGUACCGGGUAAUUGGAGAGCAAAAAAUAAUCUAAAAAAUCCUAGGCGACACAUGAAUUUUUACUCUAGAAAAACAAGAUCGUCCUUAUUAAAUGAGCAAGACUCUCAAAUAUCCCCACGUGCAGCUCAGUAUCCCUGGAAGUCUAUGCAGCUGAUUGCAACUGCCCAUAGCUCCCCUGUUCGUGGCAAUAAAAAGUCAAAAACAUUAAAGAUAGAGAUUAAUUACCAAAUCUCAUAUUCAAUAUAUUCCCAAUUGAAAAUUGACUUCAUCAAGUAAGUAAUCCCUAUCUCAAUCAAUUAGGGAUACUUCCACCAUUAUCCCAAGAUAUUAUUUCUUAAUUAAUAUCUUGGGAAUAUUCUUUCCAUACAUUUUGGCCAAUAGGAUGCUGCCAUGUGUAGGGCAAACCCUAUUAUUAUGGCCAACCGUCUCUUCUCUAUAAAUACGUCCAUCUCUACCAAAUUUCGGUAAGCUUUUGCUACCCCUAAAAGUCCUAAACACUCACUCUUUUAAAAGAAACUAAAUUAGACAUUGGAGAUCCAUUGACCUAACCUCCCCAUCUUGUGGGCGCGUGAGGCUUAGGUUUUUUUUAUCAAAUGCGUUGAUUAUUUUGUAGGUUGAUAGGAGCAUAUUUAUGCGACUUAAUUGGCUUGUUCUUGUGCGUUUACGUUGUGUUUCUUUAGUUAUUUUAGUGUUUAAAGCCAUUUUCUUUUGUUUGUAGGUCUUAAUAACAACCUUGGCAAGAAAAGUGCAUUUUGGUGCAUGUUGGAUCAAUAUUGGGCUCAAAUGGAUUGCAUGCAUGAGGAUGGACGUUUUGGGCAUAUGUGUGUGCAAGUGUGUGUGUGUAAUUGCAAGGAUAAAUAAUGACAACUCAUACACAUGCAAAGAAGCCCACAUGCAAAGUGAAAGACUCUAAGUACAAAGUAUGCAAGAAGAUGCAUUUUGGAGGCCUUUGGAGCAUGUUUCGGGCUUGGAAUGGAUAGCAAAUGCAUGGGCCAAGUGGAUGGACGAAUUUGAGAACUAAAGAGGCCAAGAAUAUGAAGAAUUAUGGUCCAAAAGAUGAAGAAAAACAGCCCAAAAAUCUGUCACCCCAACUUGCAUUCCUUGCCAUGCAAACCACAUAGAAUUCCCUUUGGAUUCCAUGCCAUGCUUGAUCACUCUUGUCCCCUACAUAAUUUCUGAUUUCAUGCUUUAAUUCAUUUAAUUAUUUCACUCAAUUGCUUGAUACCUCUUGUUCCCUUCACCCAUUAGAUUUUAGACAACCUUUACAUCCAUUACAUGCACCAAUUGAUGCUCCAUCAUUCACAUUUGGAAUCCAAUGCCAUGUGCAACACAUGUUGUUGCACCUUUGACCCAUUUGUUGACACAUUUCACCUCCCUUUCCAUCUCUAUGCAAUGUACACAAUCAUUCAUGCUCCCUAGCUACAACACCACUCCAUUUUACCCUUCACACUUUGCAUCAUUACUUCAUUUUCACCCUUGACCAUUGCACACCACACACACAAAUUGCCAUGCAUUUCAUCCUUAACCUAACCUUAUUUUCUAAGGUUUUUGGGGCCUAUAAAUACAUGUUUACACCCCUUGGACAAAGAACAAUCCCCCAUAUUCAUCAUUUUAUCACAGAAAUUCGUCCUUACACACCCUAGGAAGCAAAACACCCCAAAAACACCAUUCUAGUGCCUAGAAAACAUAACAACCACUCCACCUUCUUCCACCCUCUUUGCCUAGUUUUCCACCACCUUCCAACCAUCAAACACUCUUCCACACUCACCCUAAACCCCUCCAUAUCAUUCCCCAUCCAUUCUACACCAUAAAUCCACCCAAAAAUCUGUCCACAAGCUUCAUGCCGCAACAAGGAGGAAGGGAGAUCCAUUGAUGCACUUGCUUUCCAAGUUGGAGCAUUUUAGGUGUUUUCUUUCCUUUGAUUUUAAUGUCUAAUUUUAUGUAUCUUUGUAUUGCAAGAAUGAGGAACUAAACCCCCUUAGUUGGGGGGUGAUUUGAAACCAUGUACAUGCUUGCAAUAUGAUUUGAUUACAUUCAGUUGUUAUUUCAUAAGUUGCGGAUUCAAUUCGUUCAUCUACUUGAUUGAUAACUUAUUUUGUGUAUGUUGAUUGAGAGUGCACGCUUAGUUUUCAUGCAUGAAUAUGAUGCUAGAUUAUGAGGGAGUUUCACCUAAUAGUUACAAUCUUAUAAUCACAAGUAGUGAAGGUCGCUUGAAAACGAUCGCGUUGAAUGAAUUCUUGGCACUAGUUUCAUGCUCAUCAUAGUAACGAAUGCCUCGUCAACACUUAUAGUUCUCAUUGUGCUUCAUGAUUCUUGAUUGUAUCUUUAUUGUGCUCAUCACGUAAGGAACCUUUGAGGAAUGCUUUGAAUUGUUGUAUGCGCUUUUCCAUCCAAUUCAUUAACUUAAGGAGAACUUGAAGGUUAAUUUAAGCGUAUCUAAUUAACUUGGGUGUUGAGUUUCAUAAUUUAUUAAAAGAACAACUGAAAAUCAUUUUGUUUGCAAGUGUGUCAUGUGUGGAGAAGAACCUCCUAACUAGCCUUUUAUCCAUCCUUUUCAUCCAAAAACGUUUUACAAUCUGUUUUGUUUUAAAGUUUCUGUUUUGUUUUCAAUUUUCGUCCAAAACAAAUCCCCCUUUAUUUUGAAGUCUUAGAUUAGUUAGAAAGUGUUUUGAUUUGUGUUUUCUAAGUGUUUUUAUUCAAGUUUUUAUCCAACUUCGUCCAAGUUCUUGUUAGGUUCUCAAAACUGCCCAGAAAGUGGUUUUUAGGUAGUUUUGAGUCAUUAGGUUGCUGUUUUGAGUUUUAUGUUUGUUUAAGUAUUUUAAAGUAUAGUUUUGCAUUCUUUGAGUCUAGUUAGUGUUUUAAAUUUUAUUUUUAUGUUUUUAAGUCAGUUUUCAAGUGUUUAGCAAUCCCUCCUAAUCCCCGGCCUAGAACGAUCCCUACUUACAUACUUUACUACAUUUGAUAAAAAGAGGGUUUAAUUUGUGUGCUUAUAUAUUUCGCAUCAAAUUUUGGCGCCGUUGCCGGGGAUUAGCAACUUUGCUAAUCUCUUGGAUUGUUUUCUUUCGAAUUAUUGUAUCUUGUUUAAGUUUCUGUUUAAGUUGCUGAUUUGUUUUGUUUUCUUUGUUUUUAGGUACUAGUUUAUGACCCGUAGCUCACAACCUGUUCGUGAGCAUAUCUCCGACUUUGACGGUGAUUUUGAGAGGACUUUGAGAAGGAAAAAGAAAUUGCAAGAGUCUAAUCCUCUUAGUCCCGAGCCUGAAUUAGAAGAGCAAGGUAUAGCCAUGGACAAUCGUACACUCAAGGAGCUUGCCGCCUCGGGUUUGGAUAAUGCCGCACCAUUGUGUAUCCAAUAUCCCAUGGCUGCUCAAGGUAAAACCGAAGAGUUCGAGUUAAAGUCAAGUUUGCUCCACCACAUUCCAAAGUUCCAUGGGCUUUCCAUGGAGGAUCCGAACAAACAUUUGAAGGAAUUUGAAGUGGUGUGCUCAAGUAUGACUCCGAUUACCGUUGACGGAAGUAUUUUAAAGAUGAAGGCUUUUCCAUUCUCUUUAAUGGACAAAGCCAAGGAUUGGUUUAUACGAGUUGGCUCCCGGUACAGUUACAUCUUGGGAGAGUAUGAAGAGGGCGUUUCUGGAGAAGUUUUUCCCAACUUCUCGUAUCAUUCUUCUUCGUAAAAAAAUAAGUGGAAUUCAGCAAAGCCAAGGUGAAUCUUUUCCAUCUUAUUAUGAACGAUUUAAAUCACUUGUUGCUUCUUGUCCACAGCAUCAGAUGAAGGAGGAGUUACUUCUUCAAUACUUUUACGAAGGUCUUUUACCACUUGAACGGCAAAUGUUGGAUGCUUCCGCGGGAGGAGCUCUAGUGGAUAAGACACCUAGGGAUGCCAAAACUCUCAUUGCGAAUCGAGCACUCAAUGCACAACAAUAUGAAGGUGUUGGGCAAAGAGACACCCCACGGCCACAUCAUGUCAAUGAGGUAAGUUCUAUUUCUGAGUUACAAUCCCAAAUGGCUAACCUUACGUCUAUGUUAUCGCAGUUGGUUGAAGGCCCCAAAACGCAAGGAACUACAAUCUGUGGUGUAUGCUCCAUUCAAGGACACCAAUCUGAUCAAUGCCCUCAAUUAAUUGAGAAUGGAGGAUGGGAAUCGGCCAAUGCUGUGGGUUAUGGGAAUCAAAACCAACCAAGGAAUGAUCCUUUCUCCAAUACAUACAACCCGGGAUGGCGUGACCACCCCAAUUUCAGAUGGAGAGAUGCACCACAAUAUGGCCAACAAAGUGGAUUCCGACAACCCCCGGGUUUCUUUCCAAGGCCAAUGGAACCACAACCACCUCCUCAGGCACAAUCUUCCCAAACCAACCCAGGUACGUCUAUGAAUGAUGAUAAAACAUAUCAGUUACUAACCACCAUGGCGCAGGGAAUGCAGAACCAAGCAAAGGAGGUUAAUGAGCUGAAGAAGCAAAUGGGACAAAUGGCCGAAUUUUUGGGGCAAUUCCGUGAAAAUGGUAAGUUACCAAGCACUACGGUGGUCAAUCCAAAGGGUGGCUUCGAAUCUGCAAAGGCUAUCACAUUACGAAGUGGAAAAGAGGUGAGAAACAAGGAAGAUGAGAAGAUACAACUCAAGGAAGAUGAGAACACCUACCCCACGGCAAGGGUACCAUCACCCAUGCCGCAGCCAUCUAAGACAUCCCAUCCGUCCACCUCAGGUAAGAAUGUUCCAAAUGUUGUGAUUUCGAACACUAAUCUGCCCAAUGUUCCUUUCCCUCGUAGAUUUGCACAAUCGAAGAAAGAAGAAAGCGAAAAGGACAUUUUGGAUACCUUUCGAAAAGUCCAAGUGAACAUUCCUUUACUUGAUGCUAUUAAGCAAGUGCCCAGGUACGCAAAGUUUUUAAAAGAAUUAUGCACAACUAGGAAAAGAAUUUCAAACAAAGAAGUUGUGAAGGUAAGUGAAAAUGUAUCUGCGGUUUUGCAACGGAAGUUACCUCCAAAGUGUAAGGAUCCAGGGAGCUUUACUAUCCCAUGCGUAAUUGGAAACACUAGAUUUGAAAAAUGCAUGUUAGAUUUAGGUGCUUCUAUUAAUGUUAUGCCAUAUUCCAUUUAUGCAUCAAUGAACCUUGGUGAGUUAAAACAAGAUGGCGUGAUAAUUCAAUUGGCCGAUCGUUCUAACGCUUAUCCCAAGGGAGUCCUUGAGGAUGUUUUAGUGCAGGUCAAUCAUCUUAUCUUUCCUGCAGAUUUUUAUGUCUUAGAAAUGGAGGAUUCAAGCCAUGCUCCAUCAUUGCCAAUCUUGCUAGGCCGACCAUUCAUGAAAACAGCGAGAACAAAAAUAGAUGUGUUUAUGGGAACAUUAACCAUGGAGUUUGAUGGAGACAUUAUUCGUUUUAAUCUUUCUGAAACCAUUAAAUAUCCAAUGGAGGACCAUUCUUGUUUCGCUAUUGACAUUGUUGAUUCUUUGGCACAGGUACAUUUGGAUCGAAUGAACGACGAUGCACUUGAAAUAGCCUUAGUACACGGCAUAGGAGCAAGAAACAAGUGUGGGGGAAUCCAAGCAACCCACGGCAUGGAAUCUGACCAUAUUGCCGUGCCCCCUUGUGGUGAAGUGUUUGAAAUGGUCGCGGCCCUCGAGUCAUUGACAUCACAUUCUGGUAAGUCUUCACUCUCAAUUUUAGAUUCGGUUUUGGCUAACAAGUUACUUCCAUCCAUUGUGCAGCCACCUACACUUGAGUUGAAGCCAUUACCUAGUCACUUGAAGUAUGUUUUCUUGGGAGAAGAUCAAACACUACCCGUCAUCAUAUCUAGCUCACUCACGGCCCAAGAAGAAGACAAGUUGAUAAGGGUGUUAAAGGAGCACAAAUCUGGCAUUGGAUGGACCUUGGCGGAUAUCAAAGGCAUUAGUCCCACCACGUGCAUGCAUCGCAUCCUUUUGGAGGAGGGAGCUAAGCCAUCUCGGGAGGCUUAACGUCGCCUUAAUCCACCCAUGUUGGAAGUAGUAAAGAAGGAGGUUAUAUAAAAUUGCUUGACUGUGGUGUUAUAUAUACCCUAUUUUCUGAUAGUCGUUGGGUGUCUCCCGUGCAGGUUGUUCCAAAGAAGUCCGGGAUCACGGUGGUGAAGAAUGAAGAACAAGAGCUUGUACCCACUCGUGUGGUGACCGGUUGGCGUGUUUGUAUUGAUUACAGGAAGUUAAAUGCCAUGACAAGGAAAGAUCACUUUCCGUUGCCAUUCCUGGAUCAAAUGUUAGAAAGGUUAGCCGGUUAUAAAUUUUAUUGCUUUCUUGAUGGAUAUUCCGGAUAUAACCAAAUUGUGAUAGCUCCGGAGGACCAAGAAAAGACAACGUUCACGUGCCCCUUUGGCACCUUUGCAUACAGGCGCAUGCCAUUUGGUUUGUGCAAUGCCCCUGCGACAUUUCAACGAUGCAUGGUGAGUAUCUUUUCUGAUUAUGUGGAGAAAAAUUAUUGAGAUAUUCAUGGAUGAUUUCAGCGUGUUUGGUAAUUCAUUCGAUCAUUGCUUGAGUAAUCUGACCUUAAUUUUGAAACGUUGUGUUGAAACGAAUCUUGUGCUUAAUUGGGAAAAAUGUCACUUCAUGGUUAAGCAAGGUAUUGUUCUAGGACAUAUUAUUUCUGAAGAAGGCAUUGAAGUGGAUAAAUCUAAGGUAGACCUUGUUCGUCACUUACCCUCUCCAACUUCGGUUAGAGAGGUUCGUUCGUUUCUUGGUCACGCAGGUUUUUAUAGGCGUUUCAUAAAGGAUUUCUCCAAGAUUUCACAACCACUAUGCCGAUUGCUUCAAAAAGAGGUGGCUUUCGAGUUUGAUGAUGCAUGCUCCAUGGCAUUCAAGCAAUUAAAAGAAGCUCUUACUUCGGCUCCCAUUAUCACACCUCCAGAUUGGAGCCUUCCAUUUGAGUUGAUGUGCGAUGCUUCGGAUUAUGCGAUUGGUGCUGUUUUGGGGCAACGAAAGAACAAACAACCUCAUGUUAUUUAUUAUGCCUCUAGGACACUAAAUGAUGCUCAAUCAUAGGUACAUUUUCGUCAAGAUCGAAGACGGCGGAAUUUGCUACAAAAAAUUGGUACUUCUAUUGAGAGCUUGAUUGAAAUACUCAAAAAAGACUCUCGCAAUUGGUUUUUGGAAUUUUCUACGUUGAAUUUCUCAUAUGCAACAUCAUUUAAUUUUUCUUAGAAAAUUUUCUUGAUCAAUCCCUAGAGUAAAGAGACAAUGGUUGAAAAUUUCGAAACCACGACGAGCAAAACCCCAUACGUUCAAGGAUUUGGACUAGAGUAUGGAGACAAGGACAUGGCCCCAUGACAAUGGUCCUCGAGACUCAACAUGACGACACAAGAAGGCCAACCGUCGCUGAACACCAUCAUUGUUGUGGCCACUAAUAGAACCAAUUUUACGCUCUUCUGCAAGGGCAAUCGAGUACCAAUCUGACCAGCCUGCAAAAUAGUAAAACUACUGUUAGCAAGCCUAGGGCCGGGAGGGAGGGGGUGUGUGCCGGCAAAGGCUCUCCGAGGGUCAAGUUAGUGAAUGAUUUUAGACUCAAGCAGUGUGUAAAAAAAUUUUUAAGUGUUUAGAAUGUGUUACCACAGAUGAACCCUAAAUGGGUGUAUUUAUACUGUAGGGAGAGAAAUCUUUUCAGGAUAGAGUCCUCGUUCUAAGCCGGGAGAAUCCUAGAGGAUAUCUAGAAAUAAAUAUUGUAUCAUGUUAGGAGUUAUGAUUACUUGCGGCGCAUGCCAAUUCCUAGAUUGUAGGAACUCCACGACUUAUAGAAAUUGAUUGUGUCUAUAUCUGGAUAAGAUCGUGUGCCUUGCAGAGCAAGCAUGGUCAUCCAGCAGAGUCGCUAGGACUUCGCCUAGUGCUUUUGAGUUAAGUGAUGAUGGCACCGCUACUCCGUCUGAUAUAGCUCUACCCGGAGCUGGUGAGUCUAUGAAUAGACUUCUGAAGUAAUUGUAUUUGGAUAGCCUUAUUACGACCUUGGAAAAUCAUAGUCCCAUAACCAUUACCCAGCAACCCACGACAAAGAUGAUUGCAGCCGCAGCAGCCCAAGUCGAGGCUUAUGCUCAUGGUGCAGCAGAGGAGCAUCAAGAACAGGAGGCCCAAACUGAAGCAGAUGCCCCAGUAAGCCUAGGGCAGGAGGCUCAUCCCACUUGCUGCAGAAGCAGCCCGAGCCUAAGAAGGGCAGACGACAGCUGAGCGCGUAGCAUAGGCCCAUGGGUAGCGGGCCCACACGCAAGCCCAUCACGUCCCAGCUCACGGUUCAGCCAGCCAGGCAGGUUGGCCUGUGACCUACUUCGACGACUCGCCUCACGGCCUAGACCUGUCGGAGACCAUUUCAGGUGAUCUGGAUUCUAACGACCAGACCAUCAUCUGAGAUCUUCCAUCUUAAAUGACUAGCAACACUUAUCCAGCAGGUCGCUGACCUAACUAGCGCCCUCGCGUAGCAGACGACCUUGGUGAAUCAGCUCAUUGAGCGUAUCAAGACGCAACGCACCUCAGACGAGGUGUUUAGAAAUAGGACAAGGGCAAAAGGUCGUGACUCUUUCCAUCAGCGUCCCAGCAAGCAACCGUUCAACCUGCCACGAACUUAGCGUUCAGGCAGUGUACUAUCUGAGCAUGGCCCUCGAGAAAACGUCUUCUUCUACCUUAGUGUGCAGAGAAACGUUUAUUCCUCGCAUGCCCCAUGAGUCAGUGUACAUUCGGGGUUAAGUCUGCAUUUUGACAAGCAUUCCGGACAUUCUAAGCGAAGCGUCCAUUCGCAGGUAGGCUCGCAAGGGGAUCAUCCUACGAAACACCAAAGUAGGCAGCAACACAACAAACAAAGGGAAGCACGAGAGAUGUGACGAUACCAUGCAAGCUCAACUUUUAGGAAGGGGUUCCCAGCAAAUUACCCCUUCUUUGGAAAACUUAUCAUGGUCGAGAACUUUACUCUGGCAAACUCUUAUGCUUUAGCAGAAAAACACUCACUCUGGGAUGAAGCCAGGCGCGCCCAGAAGUCACCUAAAUAGCCAUAGAAAGACUCAAAGGCAGUUUAGAAAAUGAUGAGAGAGAAGUAGCUCAAUGACAAAAGCAAGCUAGAAAGCAAACGUAGGGACCGAUCCUCGGCGAAAGGAAGCUCGACACCUAAGAUGUUCACCAAGUUCUCAAUCCUGAUCAACUAGAUCCACUACGAACUCAAGGGCUAGCCAUGGUUCAAGAUGCCACAACCUAUGAAGGGAGAUACUUCUAAGAUGGACCAGUCGAAGUAUUACGCAUUUCAUGGGGGGCCCGGGGCACACAACCAAGGACUACCUCUGUCACGCCCCGAUCCAGACAUACAUCCACGAUCGAUACGUGACGUCACUAAAUGCUCGUAACUGAACGUACCCUGCCUUUUUGAUAUGUACAAAAUAUAAUUCAAGAUCCAGAUGCAUAAUAAUUUUGCGUAUACUUUAUGGCUGCAUCUAACCUCCUCGUUAGACUGCCUACGUACCCUCAACAAGGAUCAAGCCAUUCGUAGUUCGUCCUUCGCUACAACUCGACAUAUAUCACAGUCCGUUCAAGCCGAAAGGCAUAACAUUCCUCAAUCAAACAUUUAAUAGAACCUGACAAGCAUGAAAUUCCUAGACUCAGGGCUACAUAACAAACCCCUAUGAAAAUCAUGAUUUCUCUUCCAUCCAACAUUUAAAUCAUUAUGUCCAACAUGAUAUCGCAAUUCACAACAUACAUCAUAUUUAGGAACCAAUGAAGCACAAAACCAUUCACUAGCCACAUUAAUUAACUAAUCUGGUCAAAAUAAUAACAAUCAUUCUCAUAUCUUCUAAAUUCAUAUAUUAUGAAAUCAUAAUCGAAUCGUAGAAAAUCUCGAAGGAGUCACACAAACGUACAAUCGCUUUUCUAAUUCAAUUCACAAGAUUCUCGAAACCAUUAUUCACAAAUAUACUAAAACGAAGGCUAAAGUGCCACAAUUAAGCCAAGCCUACUUCUUCGAAGAAUGAGAUUUUGGACCACUCAACGAUAUCCAACCCAGGGUACGAUUCUAGACCAUCACUCAACGAAAUCGCAGAGUAGAAGGGAUUCCGGACCAUCACUCAACGGAAUUCGAAUGGAUACGAUUCUGGACCACUCAACCUACCACUACCUCAACCCCCUAUAAUUUACAACGUAGCCACCUACACUAUCAACUUCUCAUGGCCUCCAACUAAUAUGUAACACAAGCAUAUAAAUUCUACAAACUACUUUUAAUAGGAUUCUAAGAUCUCAUUGUCAUAACAUUUAUCAUAUUUAUCAUUCACAUUACUAAAAGGAUAACUAAACACAUAUACGUCACAAUCAUCAUCAGUACACAAGCCAAAUCAUGUUUAAUAAACAUAGAUCUAUGGCUAAAUAUAUAAAAAUCACAUUUCAAUAGAAAUCAUAUUUAUAAAACCAAUUCAUAUUCACAACGGAUACGAAUAUAAGAAAUUAAGGUAAUAACCCUAUCACAUAUAUUCAAGUCACUCUCUAACCAAUGUGGGUCCACUAGACUUCACUUAAUCUCUGGUAGUACCAAUUCUAGUAUCUAGAACAUUUCGAGACAUGUUGACCAAAAGUCAACUCUCAGUCAAUGGUAGGAUCCACAACUCUACAUAAUUCGAUCCGAAAGAUCCGCUAAUCGGAUUUCGGAUCCGUAACUUCCUAAAGUUCUCAUUAUACUCAUAGAACAUCAUACUAAUAUCUUGUCACGAUCUGACGGUCGGAUCUUCGUCAAUCACAAUUUCCGGUAGCGGUUACCGUUUUAUUUUACAAACUUACAAAUCCAAUUUGGAAAGAUCCAUACGUUGGACUCCUGAUUCGUAAGUUCUUAUGAUCCUCAAAUAUUACAUACUAUAACAUAUUAAAUUUUGUUGACGAUUCAACGAUCGAAUCGUCGAUUCAUUUAAUGUCCAAGUGGCGGUCUUUAUCAAACUAUAGUCAUAUGACGAGAUUUCGCCAAUCAAACAUCACAUAUGGAAUUAGGGUAUCCAAUUUAGUGUAAAAAGGUCAGGUGGGGUCUCGGCUCACGCUCCGCCACCACCCGCCGCCGCACGCAGCGGCCAACCGCCCCGACUUGCCGAAAAAUUCAACUAUUUCCAAAAUUUCUCAAAUUUCACAGGAAUAAAGAUCUCAAUGAGGGGAGAAAUUUUCAUACCUGGGCCGAAGUCCAAUUCGGCCAAAAACACCUGAAAACAGCCUCAAUCCGCUGGAAACCCUUGAAUUUGGGUGUUCUUGAUUCGACACCACUGGUGUUCCGCCGCCCCAAUAGCUGUUUGGGCUUUGUUCUAUGCCUCAAGGAAAGUGUUUUGGUGGUGAUGAUUGAAGAUAAUUGUUUCAAAAAUGGGUGGAUUGCCGCCGGGUGUCCUCAAAGCCGACGGCUUCAGUUCUUCCAAAUUUGAGCCCAAUCAACUCCAUUUUUUUUAUGAGACAGGAAGGUGGAACAAUGGUGAGUCAUUUUCAGGUGGUGGCUCGUCUCAAAACGCCAGAAUUUGGCCUGGGGAACCCACGGUUCCAUUACUUCCGUCUGGGUCGGGUCGCACAAAUUGGGUAGGGAUCUUUGAUCCCGUGCUGCUCUCUCUCUCUCUCUCGUCACCUCAUUCCCCUCUCUGAUUCGUCCCCCUGCUUCCUCUCUCCUCCCCUGAUUCGUCCCCCUUCCCUCCUUUUUCUUUCGUUCUCCCUUAUUUCCCCGCUCCUUCUAUGCCAUCAAGUAGCCUCCUUUUUUUUUCCUUUUUCUUUAGCUGCCAUUUGGCAGCUCUAUUUUUUUUUCUUUUUUCUUUUUUUUUUCAGCCACUCACGUGGCUUCCUUUUUCACAAUAUGCGAUCGAGGUGUUUUCCAUAAAAAACAUAAGUCGUAAAUAUAAACGCGUUGAAAUUAAUAAUACAAAUAUAUAUAUUUUUAAAUAAUGAAAUCCGGGAACGGGAUUUCACAACCUCACUUGGAAGAGGUAUCUUGAGAGGCUGGUGAAGAAAGGCAGAUGUGACAAGUAUGUCAACAAGCUCGCAACGCAGCCAAGGAGAGGCACAAAUGUCGAUGUCGAACUCCCAACCAAGAUAAUCUAAAUCAACAACAUCUUCGUUGAAUCUAAAUAUAUGGGGGCCACCAACAAUUUCAAGAAGAGGAAGAUCCAGCAGGCGAGAUCAGUCUUCCAAGUUCAAGCCAUAGAUGUUGUACCUGGACCGAUCAUUGGCUUCACUGAGGAGGACGCUGAAGGAGUAGAUUUUCCUCAAAACGACAACCAGGGAGGAGUUUGUUGCAGAAGCAGGUAGCCAUUGUCUUGAAGAAAUUAAUUGAUGAGAAGCAUGUUAUGGAAUCGCAGGGGUCUGUCUAGACCUGAUUUCGUGUCAUAAUUUAGAUUUUCACGUGUGAUUAACAAACUGAACCUUUUUUUUAUUGUUGAAGCGCAUACUAGUCUUGAUAAGGUCUCUUCUACUUGUUAUAAUGCUUUUUUUAUUUAUUGUAGUUUUAAUGGAGUAGGUGUUGGAAAGGCUGGUGGCCUUCGUUCGUUCUGGAAAUCGAAUGCCUUGAAUAUCAAUAUAAUCUACUCUUUUGAUCGUUUUAUACAUGCUAUUGUGCAUGAUCUUGUUUGUGAUACAAGUUAUCUAAUUACUUUAGUGUAUGCUUACAAUAAAAAAGAAUUACAAUAUGAGUUAUGGAGUAAAAUUUUUACAUUGAACCCAAAUAACGAUCCUUGGUUACUCUUGGGAGAUUUUAACAAUAUCCUAAACGCCAAAGAAAAUUUGGGAGGGAAUAGAACAAUAACUAAGUACAUGAUUGAUUUCAAUAAUUUUACAAUCAUCGUAAUCUUGUCUCUAUACCUGCUUCUGGAGUUCCUUUCAGUUGGACAAAUGGACAUAAGGAUAAAUCGGUAGUUUUUGAAAGGUUAUACCGUGCAUUUGCUAAUUUCGAGUGGCUAAAUAUGUUUGAACAUGUUCAUUUACACAAUUGCCAAUAUUUGGCUCGGACCUUAGUCCUACCAUACUUCAUUGUAAUAAUAUUGGCUAUAAAAGGAAGGACUCUUUCAAGUUUGAGGUAAUGUGGCUUAAUCACUCUGAAUUCAAUCAAUUUGUUAUAGACAAUUGGCAAUGUAAUAUCUCUAGACACCCAAAUGAUAUGUUUAGAGCGUACGCUGAAAGAUUUAAAUUCAAAGUGAAACGGUUAAACAAAGAUGUCUUUGGUAAUGUGCAAAAGCAAAUUAAACACCUCAUGACUUAAGCUUACAACAUAUCGUUUAUUCCACACUUUGUUAUAAAUCUACUCCAAAUAAAUUAUAUAUAUACUAAACGCCUAACUUUGUGGUUAAUUCCCUUUGUGUCCUUUUUACUGUUCAUUCAUCAAUGUUCUUCCGUUUUUGCCCCUUCUUUGUUUCUGUGAUCAUUGUUUAUUAUACAGUGUGAUUCCGUCUUUAGCCCUACUUUAAUCUUUGGUAUUUUACUUCAUUUUUGGAUUCUUCCUUCCCACACCGUUUCAGUCUCUCGACCUUCCUUGUCACUGGAUGCUUCCCACCGUUUCAGACUAUCGACCCACUUUUUCUCUGCCUGCCUCCUGCUCUCCCCAUCUCCCUCCUAGCCUCAUCUCCCAAUCACCCAACUUAUUUUCGGUUUAAACUUAAAUCUCAUAUGAAUCUCCUUGGUCUCAAAGGUCUUAUCUCCUCUGAACCCAGAAAAGCUUUAGCCUUCCGACAACACCGGCAGCCAUAAUCUAAGCGGUUCAGCAGCUAAUAGUAUGCCUAAUUUCGCAUUACAGUAUUGUUGGGUAGAAUUCAAAGGAACCCAGAUGGAGAGUUUUAAUUUUUAUUUGAAUUGCAUGUUAUCUAGAUGAAAAUUUGAAUUUGCGAGCUAGGGUUUUUCGAUUUUUUUAAUUUGGGAUUUCAAUUUUAUUGCUUUUUCGCAUAUAUGAUAAUGGUUAUGGUUUUUCUAGCGAAUUCUGAUUAUUUACGAUCUGGGUUUAAUGAUUUUAGAUGGGGAUCAAGUAUAAUAUGUGUGUAGAGGUUCUUCUUUUAAUUGCUAUGUGUGUAACAGCUUUGUUCAGUUAGCUAUCUAAUUGUUGAUUAUCAGUUAGGGUUUUGAGGAUCCAAAUAUCAAUUCUUUGUACGUUUUAUUUGUCAAGAGUUUUUUUUUUUUUUUUAAUGAAAGAAUAAGAAUUUACUUUGUUUUGAUGCUUCAUGUGUUUAUUGCUUAGUUUGCAGUUAUUUUUUCUUUGGUUUUCAUCUACUGAUUGGUUUUAGGGAUCGGGGAUUGGGCUAGCACUCUCUCCAAAGGUAGUUUUUAACUUUUUAUAUGUUUAAGUUUUUUUUAAUAUAAAUUUUGAGUGAUGUUUCAUUCUUAAGCCGUGGUUUUCUUUGCUUUGCAGUUUCAAGUUUCUAUUUGCACAAAGAACUUUCAGAUAGGGUAUAACUUCUUCAGGUGUGUGCUCUGUAUAUUUCUCGAAUUUAGAUUUCUUUAAUCGCUAUUGUUUAUUAGAUUUUCUUUCGAUCUGAUUCCAAUUGAGUUCGAUUUCGAACUUGAAUUUAUAUUCGAUUUUGAUUUACAUAUGUCCUAAUUUCUUUGAAGAAAUUUAGAGAUGAAGGUAUUCAAGUUGGAGACUUUGAGUUCAAAUUUCUUCAAAUUCAAUAAACCCAUUUGUUGCCCCUCUCUCUCCUUUCUUUGUCUCUCUUAAUCUCAAUACCAUUUCUCUCUCUUAAUUUCAAUAUUAUUUAUUAGUUGAAGUUGACGCAUCUUUUGUACCUCUCGAAUGCUGAGGUUCAAAUUAAUUCUGGAAGGAUUCCAAUCUGGCAAAAGUCUAAACUACCUUUUAUAUUUUGACAGCAAGAUCCCUUUGCUUAUCAGUAUUGUCAAACAUGUUUAUGAUCCUUUCAUUUAUGUCUUAGACAUAUUUCUAUACAAUGAGUCCGUCUGCGGUUGAUGAGCCAAAUAAAAAAAUUAGUACCAGAGUGUGACAUAGUUGUAUUAAUGGAUCCCUAAUUCUAAUAAAUUAAAGAUUCUCAACCCUAAUAUGAUUUAGGUGUUGUUUCAGAUUUUGUGUUUCUCAUUUUGGAAGUGAUUAAUAGGUGCUCUGUAAAGGUUAGUCUUAUACAUCUCUAAAUGUAACCUAUCUACUCCUUCCAGACCUCCUUAACUUAGAACUUUCCUGUUAGGUAGGUCAAUUUCCCAAGGAAACAUUUGAUGCCUCUGGAGUUAGGUUGGUUCUCUUUUCCAAGCUUCAAAUUUUAGUAAUCAUAUCAAAAAAUUGAGUUAGUUUUAAAUAACUAUAGUUAGGCUGUUUGCAUUCUACUAUGCGUACAUACAUACAUAUAGAGAAGUUUUGAAAACCAAAAACGAACCAACAGAACUAAAAAGGCCUGAUCCAAUUAAUUUCAAAUAUCCCAAGAAUCCACAUAUCAUUGCAAAACCAAAUUCAUCACUUUUCAAAAAAGCAUGGCAAAGGGAGUUUGUAGGAUUAUCAUCUUAAUAUAGGCCAAUGAGAUUUGAAGUUGGAAUAAUUUUGUGGAUACACAUAAUAUGUUGAUUCCUAUUGGUUCUUCAUUAUGACCUGUGAGACAUAUAUGCUUUAGAAAUUUUAAUUUUCCUGUUUUAUUUUAUCUUUGUUACAUCAAGAUUUUUUGUUGGAUUUGAUGGUUAAGGUGAAUUGAGUAAUUAAUCUAUAAUAUCUCUUUUGAUUUAAUGGUUGUGAAAAUAUGAUGAUGUGGUGGUUAUUAUGAUGGAAAUGCAUGUUAAAAAAUUAUGAAUUUAACAUGAUUGAAUUCCAACUUUCUUAAAUUUACUGAAUUAUAUACUCUUAAUGUUAAACUUUCUUAACAUCAGGUGAUCAGUAUGAAUGGAUUUGAUAUGGGAAGGUUAGCCUCUAAACUAAAUCCCAUUCCUAAGUGAUGUUAUGUGACAUAAUUUAUACCGCACUAUGUCUUUAAAGAAAAUGUUCAUUAGUUUAUACUCAUAGCUGCUGUAAUUACAUGUUAGUUUUAUACUCUUUUUUUUAAGAACUAUGCAUAGUAGUUGUUAAAUAUUAUGACAUUUGAAAAUCCUUAAUUGUAUGAUUGGGAUAUGAUUAUUGUGCAUUCACUUUAUUUAAUUACAAUUUACGAGUGAUGGAAAAUUUAAAAUUAAUUUAUGCCACAAUUGUUAGGCACUAUGUUUCACUAAAAUUCAAGAUGAAGGUGAAGGCGAUAUCUGUAUCCAUCUACACAUGCAUUUUGGAAAGUUUGAUGAUUCGCCUAUAUUUCGCCAACUGGUAUGUUCAUUCUAAAUUUUUAUAUUUAUUGUCAUUAUCGUAUGUUAAAAUUAUGCCAUAAAAAGCUGAAAUCAAUUUUUUUGUUUGGCUAGCUGAUCUUAUUGUCACAGGUUAUAAUUUCACUUUUUUUUUUCCUGAAUUUACAAAUUAUGGUUUACAAUGGUGUGACUUUUUAUUUUAUUUUAUUUAGUUUUUCCCCGGUGUGGUUGAUUUUCUUUUUAAAUAAAUGCAUUUAGUGAAACAUUUUUGGCAUAAUAUAGACCAAUGGUGUUUUUGCGCAUAAUUAAAAAAAAAAAGAGAGGUAAUGCGGCAACUUGGUGUUCUAAUUAUAUUGGAACCCAUGUCGUUAGAAUUACUUGGAAUUCCUUUGUAUAAAAAAAGAAAUUACUUGGGAUGAAGAAAGUGACUACUUUUCUCUGCUUUUGUUGUUUAUUCGUUGUUUUUUUAUAUUUGUUAGUUGUCAUGAAGUUUUGAUGUUUGCCUAUUGAUGUAUGCUAUUUUGGAUACAGAUACAAGGCUUGGAAGGAAGUGUAGAGUCGACUACCCAAAUGAAGAGACUAAGAAAUGAGUUUUCGCUCUCUUUUGCUUGGAAUGGUCAGUACUUUCAAUUCUUCUUCGUUUUUUUUUUUUUUUUUGGAAAGCAUGAGUAUAAAGUUUGAUCACUAAGUUUGACAAACAAAUAUAUUGAAAUAUAAAAAUUGAAUUUAAAUUUGUCGACUAGAUUAUCUUUUUCUUAACUUUAUGGGUUGCUUUGUUAUAUAGUUUCAAAUACAUAGGAUUAGUUUCAUAACUUUAUGGGUUGCUUUGUUAUUGUUUUUGGUUGCAGAUUUAACCCCUUGAACUUGAAUUGGAUCACUCUUUGGUCAAAUGCUUAUAACUAAGACUGCGACAGCUACUGCUCCACCAUCAUUUCUAAAACAUUAGGUAAAAAUCUCUCAUCUCUACAAAUCUUUUUAACAAUGAACCAAUGAUUGCACAAAAAAGUUUAGUACGAUCUUAUUUUUAUGUCUUUCGCUCAUUAUCUCAUUGAACAAAUCAAUUCCAGAAGCCAUUUUAAGUAUGCUAAAUACUUUAGAUUUGACAUUUUGUGUGUUGAAUAUCAAGAUAGAGAAACUUUUCUCUAAAACAUGAUCUGACCGUUUAUGCAUUCGUUUUUCUAAGUUAACAAUUCUGCAAAAUGAGGGUUUAUAUUCACCUUUUAAACAGUUUAAAUUUUUUUUCACUUUUUAAACACUUUAGACCAAAUUUGUUUAAGCAUAAUUCAAUUGAUUGGUUUGAAUACAAAUAAUUUGUAAAACUUGGAUUCAUGCAGUAUUUAAGGUUUAAGGCCAUAGCUCAAACCACGCAUAUGUUUUGUUAUCUCAUCGUUAUCAUACAUAGUUCAAAACACACAUAAUAUAAAAUUUGACAUAAACUUUAUGAUGAGUAGAUUUUAUAUUAUAUAUUUUACCCUAAUCUUAGUAUAUUUUGGUUAAUAUAUUGGAAGAAUUUUGAUACUUUGAAUUGUAUUUUCAAUAUAGGACUUUCGACUUCCUCUGGAGCAAAACAUGACCAAAUGGACGAAUUUUGGAGUAAUUCCAGUUGGAGGACGUUCGUGAGUCACUUAGCUUGAUCGUAUCAAAAUUUGGGAUUUUUCCACCAAGCGGUUAUUUUCUAGCGAUAAAAUAAAGAAGCAGUGCGCAGUGCGCAGUGCUAGAAAAUGACGUUUUUGGGCUUAAAUUGCGUUUUUGGAGCCCAAGAUGACCUCGGAUGGGUUCGUGGCCUUUUGGAAAAGUGUUCAAAAUAUUCCAAACAUUAAAUCCAGCUAUAUUGGGCCAGUUUUGGAGCAGCUUAUGGGUCAAAGCGUGGCUGUUCAGAUUUUAGACGAAUUUUAUCAUUUAAUUUAGGGUUAUGUUUCCUAGGGUUUGUGGGGAGGCUUGGCAGAUAUAUGGCUUGGCCGUCUACCAUAUUCCCUUACGCUUUCUUUUAUGCAAUUUUGGAGACAAAGAAUUGUUAGGGUUUUGAAGACUUUUUACUUGAAGGUGCUUUCAAUCCUUUUCUUGAAUAUAUUUUCUAUGAUUUCAAAAUAUGCGGAACUAAUUUCUUUUGCUAGGGCGAAGCCUUGAGCCUUAGCAAGAAUAUGUGAUUUUAAUUUAAUUGCUUAUGAUUGAUUGCAUGCGUACUUUGAAUUGUUAAUCACCGGGAUAAAAACUAUCUAAUUGUCGUAAUGCCUGAUCACCAUUAGGAUCUUUAGAAAAGUAAUUUGAUGCAAUUUUGGUAGGAAGGUUCUCUGAAAUUGACGCUGGCUUCUUGUGAUUAAUAAUUGUAAUUUCUCUUAGGAUGAAUAUCACGUCUUCAGGAUUGCAUGGUUUUUCAAAGGAUUUUCAUAAAGCAUAAUGAGUCUUUCAUGUUUAGAUUUGAUCCGAACGUCCGGACGGGUUGCAUGUUAGAUAUACGUUCUAUGUUGGAGGUUCCAAGUAGAAUAUGAAUUAGGAAAAUCUAACCUUCAAAGUGGCAUGUGUAGAUUAUAAGUAAUUGGUAAAAAUUCAUAGGAUUGCUAGGUGAUGGUGGAACCCUAGUGCUUUCUUAAUUUUAUUCUCCCAAAACUGUUUUCUUUCUCUCUAGCUCUAAUAUUGCAGAUUGUUUAUUUUAAUUCAUUAAUUUCGUUUUUAUUUUAAUUAGGUUAUAAAAUCAAUCACUUCAAUUUCUACUUUACAAUAAUUAAAUGAAAUCUGAUUAGUUCGAAUUAUUUAAUAAUCCCUGUGGAGACGACCUUGCGAAAUCCGUUUAUACUACAAUAACCGUGUGAUUCUUGCAAGUAAAAUAUGAGAUUUAAGCCCGUUCACAUGAGUAGUAAAAAUCCUAUCACUUUACAUGUUUAAUUAAUAAUGCCUAAUGUUUUCAUCUAUGUAGGACCUGGUCUGCCAACAGUUUUCAACUGCGCAAGUCAUUUUAUAUAACUUUCUGUAAGUCCUUUUAUUGUUCUGAUCUUUAGCAAGAGGAUCCUUUAACAAAUCCAACUGUUUUAACAAAUCCAACUAUCAUUUGUUCACAUUAACUUCAAUUUUUCCAAUUUCUAACAGAUAAAUGAAAACACCUACUACCAGAAGAAAGGAGGAACAAAGUGAAGAAACAAACCCAUUAGAUUAAAUAAGGUCAACACUAUUCAUUGUUUCUUAUUCUAGAUAGGGUUCUAAAUAGAUUUAUAUAAGCAUAGGACUUAUAAUUUAUAUUUACAACUUUCUACAUGUUUUAUACAGUUUCAAAACCCGCAGCACCGCGCAGGCACUCUUGCUAGUGAGGAUCUAUAAAUCGACGGGUACUUCAUCAGAACUACUGACUACAAAGGGUAAUAUGCAAACCACCUAUUAAUCAUAGCAAGACACUCUUCAGGUUUGUACUCUGGAGCUGUGUGACCGGCUCCCUGCAUUAAGAGAAAAAUUUAGUCAGCUUUUGCUCAAGCAAACUCUAGUAUGUAUGAAAGUUAAGUUCAUGAAGGUUCUUGGCUUCUUGCCUUUAUAGUCGUGAAUGUCAACUUGUAAUUAGUUAUGUGUGAGUACUGCACACUGUAUCUAAAGGUAAAAACAUUAUAUGUGGUAAGCAUGUGAUAAUUGUACUCUAAAUUUAUUAUUAAACUCUGUAUGAACGGGGGAACAAAGAUUAUGUCGUAAGCGAAAAUUGAACACCAACCCUGCAAUCUGCCCACUGACGAACCAUGGCCUCCAACGACUGUCAACAGUCAAGUUAAGCGACUCUAUCCAAGCAAGAGUACCCACAUAUGGAACUACCAUAUCAUGAUCACCACUGUUAACAGAAAUUUUGAGUGCCGAAGCAACGAUCAUGCGAUAUAUACGGAAACACAUUGUGUCAGAUUCUGUUAGAAAACUUCCCUAACGAAAGAAAGUUGGACAGAUAUAUUACCUGUAAAUAAGAACUCUAUAGCCUUGUUUUAUGAGGUUCUCAUGAUAUACAAGACUAGAGGAAACAUCAUUUAUAUUUGAAUCUUCUAAGCUUUUAUUGCAUCUCAUCCAUUCUUCAAUGCUUCCCUAAUUGUCAUUUAAAAUCAGAAAAUUAAAGUCCCCUAAAAUAUGAGAACCUGAAGUGGAUUUUUAAAAUUUAACUAUCGAUUACCUCCUGAACAUGAAGAGCAUCUUGAACAGUUUUGUCAUUUGCCCAAAUUUCAGAGAAGAUAUAAUUGUAUUCCUACAUUAAAACAAGGCAGAUAUGAUUAGAGUGCACGUGUGUUCGCUUGUGCGUGCAUGCUGAGAGAUAUAUACCCGACACCAUGGCCUAGGAAGUCCAGAAGAAGUAAGGAGGAUAUUUUUAGAGUCCCUAUCACUGAGAUGGUCGGGAUUCCAUAUUGAUCCCAUUGAUUUUGGCGAAGUUACAGUACAUGAAGGUUCCAAUAUCUGUACAGAGCGUAUGUCUUCCGUGCACUGUGAAUUCAAAUGUAAAGUCAGU
rnacentral:lncRNA from 1 species